GGUCCGCUGGCGUAAUGGCAGCGCGUCUGACUACGAUUUCAUAUUAAUCCAUCAGGAGGUUCCAGGUUCGACCCCUGGGCGGAUCG
rfam:Podospora anserina genomic DNA, chromosome 2.